rnacentral:rRNA from 1 species
GGAAUCUUCGGCAAUGGACGGAAAGUCUGACCGAGCAACGCCGCGUGAGUGAAGAAGGUUUUCGGAUCGUAAAACUCUGUUGGUAGAGAAGAACGUUGGUGAGAGUGGAAAGCUCAUCAAGUGACGGUAACUACCCAGAAAGGGACGGCUAACUACGUGCCAG